rnacentral:rRNA from 1 species
AGUGAACGCUGGCGGUAGGCCUAACACAUGCAAGUCGAACGGCAGCACAGUAAGAGCUUGCUCUUACGGGUGGCGAGUGGCGGACGGGUGAGGAAUACAUCGGAAUCUACUUUUUCGUGGGGGAUAACGUAGGGAAACUUACGCUAAUACCGCAUACGACCUACGGGUGAAAGCAGGGGAUCUUCGGACCUUGCGCGAUUGAAUGAGCCGAUGUCGGAUUAGCUAGUUGGCGGGGUAAAGGCCCACCAAGGCGACGAUCCGUAGCUGGUCUGAGAGGAUGAUCAGACACAAUGGAACUGAGACACGGUCCAGACUCCUACGGGAGGCAGCAGUGGGGAAUAUUGGACAAUGGGCGCAAGACUGAUCCAGACAUACCGCGUGGGUGAAGAAGGCCUUCGGGUUGUAAAGCCCUUUUGUUGGGAAAGAAAAGCAGCAGGUUAAUACCCCGCUGUUCUGACGGUACCCAAAGAAUAAGCACCGGCUAACUUCGUG